GUUGAACGCCGGCGGCAUGCCUAACACAUGCAAGUCGAACGGCAGCAUGAAUAUGGGUAACCAUAUUUGAUGGCGAGUGGCGGACGGGUGAGUAAUAUGUAGGAAUCUACCUAGAGGAGGGGGAUAACUUGGGGAAACCCAAGCUAAUACCACAUAAGCCCUACGGGGGAAAGCAGGGGACCGCAAGGCCUUGCGCCUUAUGAUGAGCCUACAUCGGAUUAGCUAGUUGGUGGGGUAAAGGCCUACCAAGGCGACGAUCCGUAGCUGGUCUGAGAGGAUGACCAGCCACACUGGGACUGAGACACGGCCCAGACUCCUACGGGAGGCAGCAGUGGGGAAUAUUGGACAAUGGGCGAAAGCCUGAUCCAGCAAUGCCGCGUGUGUGAAGAAGGCCUUAGGGUUGUAAAGCACUUUCAGUGGGGAGGAAGGGGUUGAUGCUAAUAUCAUCAGUCAUUGACGUUACCCACAGAAGAAGCACCGGCUAACUCUGUGCCAGCAGCCGCAGUAA
rnacentral:rRNA from 1 species